CUACGUGCCAGCAGCCGCGGUAAUACGGAAGGUUCGGGCGUUAUCCGGAUUUAUUGGGUUUAAAGGGAGCGUAGGCCGGAGAUUAAGUGUGUUGUGAAAUGUAGACGCUCAACGUCUGACUUGCAGCGCAUACUGGUUUCCUUGAGUACGCACAACGUUGGCGGAAUUCGUCGUGUAGCGGUGAAAUGCUUAGAUAUGACGAAGAACUCCGAUUGCGAAGGCAGCUGACGGGAGCGCAACUGACGCUUAAGCUCGAAGGUGCGGGUAUCGAACAGGAUUAGAUACCCUGGUAGUCCGCACAGUAAACGAUGGAUGCCCGCUGUUGGUACCUGGUAUCAGCGGCUAAGCGAAAGCAUUAAGCAUCCCACCUGGGGAGUACGCCGGCAACGGUGAAACUCAAAGGAAUUGACGGGGGCCCGCACAAGCGGAGGAACAUGUGGUUUAAUUCGAUGAUACGCGAGGAACCUUACCCGGGCUUGAAUUGCAGAGGAAGGAUUUAGAGAUAA
rnacentral:rRNA from 1 species